CCGAGCGCGUAGACUGCACCGCACCCUCGCACCCUCGCACCCUCCUCGCACCCUCCUCGCACCCUCGCACCUCGUCCCGGGCCCCGCGGGCGGGGAAGGGGGCGCUCUGUGGGGCGGAGAGGACGCAGGUGGGAAGGUGGAGAUAUGCUACCAUAUUUGGAACCAAAUGGAAACAUGAAGAUGUUGGGGAAUUUACACGUUUUUCAUGUAACAAAAUGGGUAAUUGUAAGGCCGAGACGUUUGCAAUGCUUAGAUUACAUUAAAGCACGCUUUUUCAAAGAGAAGUGAAGUAUUUUCUCAAGACAUAUGCUGGUGAAUGGAAGGGUGGAUAUUUGAACUCAGCGCUCCAUGUUCUUAAUGACUCCUUUAUGCUGCAUUUUGAAAAUUGUUGAAGACCUCUGAGGAAUCCUUCUGAGGAAUGCCAUUUGCAAACCUCUGCCCCAGAGGUAGUUGGAUGAGGGUGGAAUCACAGGGGAAUACCUGUUCCUGUUAAAGAUGAUGGAGAAGAGCAGCGAAUAAAACAAAGAAUGAAGCUUAGUGACAGACAUGUCACCACCAUGAAGCUUAGUGACAGACAAUAAACACAUAAAUAUAUGCUUUCCCUGUAUGUCACACAUCAUGCAUAUGUGUAUGGUCUGCUCCUCCAUCUGACUUGAGGCGGUGUGCUUGCUGGGAUCAGCACUUGAUCACCAGUGCCCCAUCAGAUCAGAAACUGGAAACUGGCACAUCAAAGUACGUAUGCAAUGUUAGCUAAUGAAUGGAUGUAGGCAUGAGUUAAAGGUAUGAUCCUGUGUGAGCUGUAAUUUAAAAUUUGCUCUUUAGAGUGUACUAUAUACAUUUAUUUGUUUCUUUUCAUUUUAUAAUACUACUGCUUUCCUGGAACAAAGUAUGUCUUGAAUUGUGCUUGUCAUUUUCCAGAUUUAUCCAUGGUCCAGUACAUACUUUAUUUAACUUGAAUAUUAACAUGUGUUUUUCUGUAGGUGUUCCUGUGUUUGUUUGCAUGUAUUUUGCUAUUUGGAAAGUUGUUUUUUUUUUUUUUUUAAACAUAGUUCCCAUGAAUAUGAGGAGGUCCUCAAUUAUACUUGAAUUUGCAUUAUUUGCUUAAUAAGAUAAGACCAGAUGUGCUAGAUAGUUUAAACAGUAUGUAUUCCAAGACCAGAUGUGCCUCUGUUAAAUCACCAGUUCAAGGUAAUAAAUAUGCUGCUGUUGUACGCUCACUUUCAUUAAAAUCUAUCUCUAGGCAAUUUAUCUUUAUUAAUUUGUGGGGUUUUUUUUCCCUUGAAAAUGGCCAGAAUGUUUUGGCCCAGAAAUUCAGACUCCCUGCCGACUGCGGAAUUAUACCUCUGGUAACUCUUUUGAAAGCAGUCUUCAUUCAUCUUACAAUGGAAUAGCAUGCCUUUUUUCUUUGUAUUUUUAUCAUUGUUUAAUAUAUGCUGUACUUAUGAUUGCAAUACUAAUUUGCAUACAUUGUAAAAAUUGUGAAAACCAUGCUAUAAAGAAAAAUUAACACUAGCUAUAACCCCAAAAUCACUAAUAUUUUAUGUAUUUGUGCACCAUCUUUUUUUUUUCUAUGCCUUGAAAAUUAUCUCUAUUAAAAUUUUCCACUCAGCAUUUUAUCUAGCCAAAUGACCAAUGUCAUUGUGGAGACAGUUAAAAAGCAUUUAUUGAAGUUAAAUCCAGGUACAAUAAAAUUCUUUUAUUCCUCAUAUGUAUUGAGACAUUUCUCUUUCCCUUUGUACUCAGUGCUUGUCUAUGUUAUGCCCCUUUAAAUUUUUCAAGGUUAAAAUUAUUUGACUCACACAGUGAACAAUAACUUUGAAGUCCUCAUCGUCUGUUCUGUGCCUUAGAAAAGAUGCAAAGUGAUUGUCUUGACACAAUUUUGGUUUUAUAUUUGGGCAAGUAACUGUGUUUUAAUAGAAUCUUUGCCUUUCACAAAAGGUGGCCAGCCCAACCACAGUUCUAUUGUCUCUUCAGAUAUACAUGUCUUCAUUCAAUUGUCAGCACUAAAUGGUAUUGUAUAAUUGAAAUUUGCUAAGAGAAUAGAACUCAAAUGUUCCCUCUCACACACCCAUAAAAGUAAGGAGAUGGAUGUGUUAAUUAAAAAAUGGGGGGCA